GACGAACGCUGGCGGCGUGCUUAACAAAUGCAAGUCGAAAGGAAAGGCCCUGCUUGCAGGGUACUCGAGUGGCGAACGGGUGAGUAACACGUGGGUGAUCUGCCCUGCACUUCGGGAUAAGCCUGGGAAACUGGGUCUAAUACCGGAUAGGAGCCAUUUUUAGUGUGAUGGUUGGAAAGUUUUUUCGGUGUAGGAUGAGCUCGCGGCCUAUCAGCUUGUUGGUGGGGUAAUGGCCUACCAAGGCGGCGACGGGUAGCCGGCCUGAGAGGGUGGACGGCCACAUUGGGACUGAGAUACGGCCCAGACUCCUACGGGAGGCAGCAGUGGGGAAUAUUGCACAAUGGGCGCAAGCCUGAUGCAGCGACGCCGCGUGGGGGAUGACGGCCUUCGGGUUGUAAACUCCUUUCGCUAGGGACGAAGCUUUUUGUGACGGUACCUAGAGAAGAAGCACCGGCUAACUACGUG
rnacentral:rRNA from 1 species